UUCAGAUCCAUAAAGGAAAAUGGGAGGGCGGACCUCUAGCGGCAGCAGCGGUGAGGAGGAUGACGCGAAUUGGAAAGCGGCUAUCGAGUCAGUAGCUGCCACUACCACUUUUGGCAGUAAAGUUUUUGGGAAUACAUCGAAUGGCUCAACAUCCCAUUCCACCUCUAAUAGAGAUGUUGAAGAGCAGCAAACCCAGAAUUCCCAAAAGCUCAAGCACUACCAACUAAAGGCACAAAAGCUUUUGGAUGACAUCUUAGAAAAGACCUUAUUAAUGGUGAGUGAGCCCAUUCAUGUCCCUGAUAAUCCCAUUGUAGAUGAAGGUGGAGUACGGCUAUUUAAACAUUCUCCUGCUGGGAUUAUAUUUGAUCAUAUAGGUGAGCUUAUCUCUUUGUGUGUGUGUGUAUUAAGAUUUCAGUGCUUCCUUGAUGGAGAAAUGAUGACCCUCUAAAUUGAUUGUUUUAUUUAUACAUUAGCACUACUCAACCUACUGCCUCGGCAAUGUUGAUCUUGCGAGGCAAAUGAGCUGUUUCCUGAGUUCUUUAUGGGAAGUUGGACUGAAAAUGAUGGUAGUUGUCUUGCAUAACUGUCACAGCCAUGAGGAGCCAGCCAUAGAUUCAAAAUUUGUUGUAGAUGAAAAACCCAUAGAUCAUUUAGUUCAGGUAACCGGCCAAUAAAGCAGCAAACUUGAAGCACAAAUUGUUCUCCUGUAUCAAUUGUUAUGUGGGGCAUUCCUUGUUUGUAGAAUAGACUUGAGGCAAGCUUUUGUUAGUAAAUAUUCUGCUAAGAGCUGGAAGAUUAAAUUCUAGAACUUCAUUUUACCAUUUAAGGAGUUUGCGAGAUUGGAGAGUUACAAUUCUCUAGACUCCACUCUGUAAUGCAUUCUGCAUACACUCUUGCCACAUUGUAAAUAAGGAUUGAAGAUUGUAUAUGCUACUGCUAGAUGAAAUUCGAGGGCCCAGAAAGCGACCAAGAAUUCUUCCUGCAUAUGACGUUGAUGAGAAAUCAAAGAAGGUUUGCUUCUUUAUGGACUUCAUUCUUACCAUUGAUAUGUUAAAUUGACAAAAUGUUACUGAGGAUCUAUGAUAUUUUGCAGUUUAGACGGCAAAUCAAAUCUGUUACUGUGAAUGGGGUAGACAUAAUUGCUGCAGCAAGAGAGGAAGGCCAAAAAGCAUUAGCUAGAUUCGAAGCCAAAGAAGCAGCAGCAAAAGCCAAAGCCAAAAAGGAGGAGGAAAGAGUUGCAGAAUUGAAAAGAAUUAGGGGGGAGAGAUGGCUACCUUCCAUUGCGAAGGAAAUUCAGUUAACUUUUCAAUGACUAACAAUUUCUGCACUUGGAUAGUUUUUAUUGAGCAGACUCCAUUUGCUUUUCCAAAUUUUCACUUUCACCCUUCAGAUUGCUUGUAUUCUUAGGAUUCAUGCAAUUCCCUGUCUUCUCUGAUUGUUUCAAUAAGAGAUAUUUAUUUCAGUCAUUUAAUCAUGUGUUGGCUGCAUCGUUUGUUUGCUCAGUUAAAUAGAAACAACAGGGAAAAAGUCUAGGCAAAUAUUCAUUUGGGUUGCCGUCUUCUGCCUCACAACUGGCCUGAGUCAGACAGAGGUGUGUUUGUGGCUUAAUAUGGCAAUCACAUCCUAGAAAAGAAUUCUAUGGUUAUGAUGCUUCCUCAAGACGAGCAAUUGUUGAAUGUCAACUUUAUUCUUAUUUUUUGUGUAAUAAUUUAUAUUAUGAAUUUUA
rnacentral:misc_RNA from 1 species